rnacentral:rRNA from 1 species
CCACCACUAAGCCAGUGGUGAACUCCACAUACGCAUCCUUUGCUGAGGAUACGGUUAACGGAGCGAAAGCGACGUUCAACCGCAAAAGAAGCAGAGGGGGCUUAGUGGUGGGGUGACUGCGUACCUUUUGUAUAAUGGGUCAGCGACUUAUAUUCUGUAGCAAGGUUAACCGAAUAGGGGAGCCGUAGGGAAACCGAGUCUUAACCGGGCGUUAAGUUGCAGGGUAUAGACCCGAAACCCGGUGAUCUAGCCAUGGGCAGGUUGAAGGUUGGGUAACACUAACUGGAGGACCGAACCGACUAAUGUUGAAAAAUUAGCGGAUGACCUGUGGCUGGGGGUGAAAGGCCAAUCAAACCGGGAGAUAGCUGGUUCUCCCCGAAAGCUAUUUAGGUAGCGCCUCGUGAAUUCAUCUCCGGGGGUAGAGCACUGUUUCGGCUAGGGGGCCAUCCCGGCUUACCAACCCGAUGCAAACUGCGAAUACCGGAGAAUGUUAUCACGGGAGACACACGGCGGGUGCUAACGUCCGUCGUGAAGAGGGAAACAACCCAGACCGCCAGCUAAGGUCCCAAAGUCAUGGUUAAGUGGGAAACGAUGUGGGAAGGCCCAGACAGCCAGGAUGUUGGCUUAGAAGCAGCCAUCAUUUAAAGAAAGCGUAAUAGCUCACUGGUCGAGUCGGCCUGCGCGGAAGAUGUAACGGGGCUAAACCAUGCACCGAAGCUGCGGCAGCGAACGUAUCACUUAAAGCGAUUCAGCGGGUUACGAUUGACGGAGCGAAGCGACGUCAAAGCGUAUACAAAGUCGAGUCGGUUUAAGGAUACGUUCGUUGGGUAGGGGAGCGUUCUGUAAGCCUGUGAAGGUGGCCUGUGAGGGUUGCUGGAGGUAUCAGAAGUGCGAAUGCUGACAUAAGUAACGAUAAAGCGGGUGAAAAGCCCGCUCGCCGGAAGACCAAGGGUUCCUGUCCAACGUUAAUCGGGGCAGGGUGAGUCGACCCCUAAGGCGAGGCCGAAAGGCGUAGUCGAUGGGAAACGGGUUAAUAUUCCCGUACUUGGUGUUACUGCGAAGGGGGGACGGAGAAGGCUAUGUUGGCCGGGCGACGGUUGUCCCGGUUUAAGCGUGUAGGUGUGUGUUCCAGGUAAAUCCGGUUCACUUUAACACUGAGGCGUGAUGACGAGGCACUACGGUGCUGAAGCAACAAAUGCCCUGCUUCCAGGAAAAGCCUCUAAGCAUCAGGUAACAUCAAAUCGUACCCCAAACCGACACAGGUGGUCAGGUAGAGAAUACCAAGGCGCUUGAGAGAACUCGGGUGAAGGAACUAGGCAAAAUGGUGCCGUAACUUCGGGAGAAGGCACGCUGACACGUAGGUGAAGUGAUUUACUCAUGGAGCUGAAGUCAGUCGAAGAUACCAGCUGGCUGCAACUGUUUAUUAAAAACACAGCACUGUGCAAACACGAAAGUGGACGUAUACGGUGUGACGCCUGCCCGGUGCCGGAAGGUUAAUUGAUGGGGUCAGCGCAAGCGAAGCUCCUGAUCGAAGCCCCGGUAAACGGCGGCCGUAACUAUAACGGUCCUAAGGUAGCGAAAUUCCUUGUCGGGUAAGUUCCGACCUGCACGAAUGGCGUAAUGAUGGCCAGGCUGUCUCCACCCGAGACUCAGUGAAAUUGAACUCGCUGUGAAGAUGCAGUGUACCCGCGGCAAGACGGAAAGACCCCGUGAACCUUUACUAUAGCUUGACACUGAACAUUGAGCCUUGAUGUGUAGGAUAGGUGGGAGGCUUUGAAGUGUGGACGCCAGUCUGCAUGGAGCCGACCUUGAAAUACCACCCUUUAAUGUUUGAUGUUCUAACGUGGACCCGUAAUCCGGGUUGCGGACAGUGUCUGGUGGGUAGUUUGACUGGGGCGGUCUCCUCCUAAAGAGUAACGGAGGAGCACGAAGGUUGGCUAAUCCUGGUCGGACAUCAGGAGGUUAGUGCAAUGGCAUAAGCCAGCUUGACUGCGAGCGUGACGGCGCGAGCAGGUGCGAAAGCAGGUCAUAGUGAUCCGGUGGUUCUGAAUGGAAGGGCCAUCGCUCAACGGAUAAAAGGUACUCCGGGGAUAACAGGCUGAUACCGCCCAAGAGUUCAUAUCGACGGCGGUGUUUGGCACCUCGAUGUCGGCUCAUCACAUCCUGGGGCUGAAGUAGGUCCCAAGGGUAUGGCUGUUCGCCAUUUAAAGUGGUACGCGAGCUGGGUUUAGAACGUCGUGAGACAGUUCGGUCCCUAUCUGCCGUGGGCGCUGGAGAACUGAGGGGGGCUGCUCCUAGUACGAGAGGACCGGAGUGGACGCAUCACUGGUGUUCGGGUUGUCAUGCCAAUGGCACUGCCCGGUAGCUAAAUGCGGAAGAGAUAAGUGCUGAAAGCAUCUAAGCACGAAACUUGCCCCGA